rnacentral:rRNA from 1 species
AUUGAACGCUGGCGGCAUGCCUUACACAUGCAAGUCGAACGGCAGCACGGACUUCGGUCUGGUGGCGAGUGGCGAACGGGUGAGUAAUAUAUCGGAACAUACCUUGUAGUGGGGGAUAACUAUCCGAAAGGAUAGCUAAUACCGCAUACGAUCUAAGGAUGAAAGCCGGGGAUCUUCGGACCUCGUGCUAUAAGAGUGGCCGAUAUCUGAUUAGCUAGUUGGUGAGGUAAAGGCUCACCAAGGCGACGAUCAGUAGCUGGUCUGAGAGGACGACCAGCCACACUGGAACUGAGACACGGUCCAGACUCCUACGGGAGGCAGCAGUGGGGAAUUUUGGACAAUGGGGGCAACCCUGAUCCAGCAAUGCCGCGUGAGUGAAGAAGGCCUUCGGGUUGUAAAGCUCUUUUGUCAGGGAAGAAACGGUUGUGGCUAAUACCCAUGGCUAAUGACGGUACCUGAAGAAUAAGCACCGGCUAACUACGUGCCAGCAGCCGCAGUAAUAC